rnacentral:tRNA from 1 species
CGUGGCCUAGUAGGGAAGACGCUGGGCUACUAACCCAAGGGUCGUAGGUUCGAGCCCGGU